GUCGGAGUGCCGGAGUGGUUAACGGGUGUGACUCGAAAGAGCAAAGCUCUCAUAGAUAUCACAUGCUUUCGGGCGCGCAGGGUAAGCAUUAUUCUUAUAGUCAGUCAUGACCUCCACUAACGGCUGAUAGUUCGAGUCCUGUCUCCGACG